UACAGAGGUCUCAAGCGUUGUUCGGAUUCAUUGGGCGUAAAGGGUGCGUAGGUGGCGCUGUAAGUCGGGUGUGAAAUUUCGGAGCUUAACUCCGAAACUGCAUUCGAUACUGCGGUGCUUGAGGACUGGAGAGGAGACUGGAAUUCAUGGUGUAGCAGUGAAAUGCGUAGAGAUCAUGAGGAAGACCAGUGGCGAAGGCGGGUCUCUGGACAUUUCCUGACGCUGAGGCACGAAAGCCAGGGGAGCAAACGGG
rnacentral:rRNA from 1 species